rnacentral:rRNA from 1 species
CCUACGGGAGGCUGCAGUGAGGAAUAUUGGUCAAUGGACGAGAGUCUGAACCAGCCAAGUAGCGUGAAGGAUGACUGCCCUAUGGGUUGUAAACUUCUUUUAUAUGGGAAUAAAACGUUCCACGUGUGGGAUUUUGUAUGUACCAUAUGAAUAAGGAUUGGCUAACUCCGUGCCAGCAGCCGCGGUAAUACGGAGGAUCCGAGCGUUAUCCGGAUUUAUUGGGUUUAAAGGGAGCGUAGGUGGAUUGUUAAGUCAGUUGUGAAAGUUUGCGGCUCAACCGUAAAAUUGCAGUUGAAACUGGCAGUCUUGAGUACAGUAGAGGUGGGCGGAAUUCGUGGUGUAGCGGUGAAAUGCUUAGAUAUCACGAAGAACUCCGAUUGCGAAGGCAGUUCACUGGACUGCAACUGACACUGAGGCUCGAAAGUGUGGGUAUCAAACAGGAUUAGAUACCCGGGUAGUC